AACGCUGGCGGCGUGGAUAAGACAUGCAAGUCGAACGAGAUCACUUUUUGUAGCAAUACAGAAAGUGAUUUAGUGGCGAACGGGUGCGUAACACGUGGGCAAUCUGCCUUAAAGUGGGGGAUAGCUCGGCGAAAGCCGAAUUAAUACCGCAUGUGGUGAGCUAAGACAUCUUAGCGAAACCAAAGCCGGGGCAACCUGGCGCUUUUUGAGGAGCCCGCGGCCUAUCAGCUAGUUGGUGAGGUGACGGCCCACCAAGGCUAUGACGGGUAGCUGGUCUGAGAGGACGACCAGUCACACUGGAACUGAGACACGGUCCAGACACCUACGGGUGGCAGCAGUCGAGAAUUUUUCUCAAUGGGGGAAACCCUGAAGGAGCGACGCCGCGUGGAGGAUGAAGGCUUUCGGGUUGUAAACUCCUGUCAUUUGGGAACAAGGUGCACCGGUUAACUGCCCGGAGUAUUGAUAGUACCAGAAGAGGAAGAGACGGCUAACUCUGUGCCAGCAGCCGCGGUAAUACAGAGGUCCAAGCGUUGUUCCGGAUUCAUUGGGCGUAAAGGGUGCGUCNGUGGCGCCGUAAGUCGGGUGUGAAAUUUCGGAGCUUAACUCCCGAAACUGCAUUCGAUACUUGCGGUGCCUUGAGGGACUGGA
rnacentral:rRNA from 1 species